rnacentral:piRNA from 1 species
AUAGUCUUAAGAUACAGUGG